GUUGUCAGGGGUUCAGAGAGAGAGGCACAGGGUAGGCAGGAGAUGGAGAGCGAGGGGGAGGAAUUCCAAGCCAGCGAGGAAGAGGAUGACAAUGACUCAAGGGAUUCCAUGAGUCUUUCCAGCGAAUCAGAGGAUUCCCAGAAGGGGGCGCCGGUGGUCAGGGCCAGGGGAGCCCCAGGGGAAGUGUCAGGAGCAGGGUGCCAGCGGAGGAUCCCAAAGUGGCAGCUGGGCGUCAGGACCAGCCUCCCCACCAAAGUGCAGUGAAGGGGGUGGAGUUUCCAGUGUGUCAGAGGAAGCAGCUCCAGCAGCAGAGAAAGGAGGGGGGUCAGAGCAAGCCGCCCUCCCGGAAGGGGAGGGGAGCAGUGAAGGGAGUAGUGUAACUGUCAAAAGGAAAGUUAGAGGUUUGGCGCGCGCGCCUAGUUCAAAUGUAGAGGCGCGCGGAAGUGCAGGGAGUCCGGAGGAGGGGCCAGGUCCCAAAGCCCGCAGGAGGGGGGAAGAGCAGUCUGGGGAUUCAGCGUCAGAGGAAUCCAGAAGGGGCGCAACCCCAGGGGGCAGAAGGACCCUGCGGAAAAGGAAGGAGAGAAAGAGGUGGAGCAGCGCAAGUCUCUUAAAUUGGUGCAGAGGAGGGACUGACUCAGAGG